rnacentral:rRNA from 1 species
AAACUUUCAACAACGGAUCUCUUGGUUCUGGCAUCGAUGAAGAACGCAGCGAAAUGCGAUAAGUAAUGUGAAUUGCAGAAUUCAGUGAAUCAUCGAAUCUUUGAACGCACAUUGCGCCCCUUGGUAUUCCGGAGGGCAUGCCUGUUCGAGCGUCAUUU